rnacentral:rRNA from 1 species
AUUGAACGCUGGCGGCAUGCCUUACACAUGCAAGUCGAACGGCAGCAUGAUCUAGCUUGCUAGAUUGAUGGCGAGUGGCGAACGGGUGAGUAAUACAUCGGAACGUGCCCUGUAGUGGGGGAUAACUAGUCGAAAGAUUAGCUAAUACCGCAUACGACCUGAGGGUGAAAGUGGGGGACCGCAAGGCCUCAUGCUAUAGGAGCGGCCGAUGUCUGAUUAGCUAGUUGGUGAGGUAAAGGCUCACCAAGGCGACGAUCAGUAGCUGGUCUGAGAGGACGAUCAGCCACACUGGGACUGAGACACGGCCCAGACUCCUACGGGAGGCAGCAGUGGGGAAUUUUGGACAAUGGGCGAAAGCCUGAUCCAGCAAUGCCGCGUGUGUGAAGAAGGCCUUCGGGUUGUAAAGCACUUUUGUCCGGAAAGAAAUGGCUCUGGUUAAUACCUGGGGUCGAUGACGGUACCGGAAGAAUAAGGAUCGGCUAACUACGUG